UACAGAGGGUGCGAGCGUUAAUCGGAAUUACUGGGCGUAAAGCGUGCGUAGACGGCUAUCUAAGUCAGAUGUGAAAUCCCCGGGCUUAACCUGGGAACUGCGUUUGAAACUGAGGGGCUAGAGUGUGGAAGAGGGGGGUGGAAUUCCAGGUGUAGCAGUGAAAUGCGUAGAGAUCUGGAGGAACACCGAUGGCGAAGGCAGCCCCCUGGGCUAACACUGACGCUCAUGCACGAAAGCGUGGGGAGCAAACAGG
rnacentral:rRNA from 1 species